rnacentral:rRNA from 1 species
AUAAUCAUUUGCCUUUUAAAUGAAGGCUAGAAUGAAAGUACUGACGAGGGGCCACUGACUCAACCUUGUUUACCCGAAUUUGACCACGGGGUUAAAAUGCCCCGACGCUCUAGAAGGACGACAAGACCCUAUAAAACUUCACUACCCCUUGCCAAUACCCCAAGGUCAUUAAUAAAGUUGGACGUAGUUUAGCUGGGGCGGCCAACCCCCUCCGGGAUUGAGAUCUAACACCAUGUGUGACCCCUCGAACAUAUUUAAAUAGAAAGACCAAGUUACUUUAGGGAUAACAGCGCAAUAACCCCGAAGAGCCCCUAUCGAUGGGGUUGUUUGCGACCUCGAUGUUGAAUUGGAGCCCUCUCCGGAGCAGCCCCCGGGGAAAGGGGGUCUGUUCGACCCUUAAUCCUCCACGUGAU